AAUAGUAAGAAAGGAGCAAAAUCAUUUGGACAUAACUAAAGAGGAAAGAAAGACCACCAGGCACCAGCAAAUAGGAAACGCCACCGUAUAUGAGGAAGCUCAUGUUUCAGCUUCACACUAAAGCGAGAGGAGAACGCGGUGCGCUUCGAACACGAAGCUAGCAAGUUCACAGAUAUGGAAGCAAUAACUUCAUCAAUUCCAGAUUUCGGUUCUUACGAUUUUGGUAAUUCAGUGGAAAUCGACGGUUACAAACACCGUGUUGAUGAACUUUUCCAUAAAGUUGAUAAGCUUGAGCAAAGAGUGAAUGAAGUAGAACUUUUCUACCUAAAUGUAAAUAAAAAGCAGCAGCAGCAAAGUGGUGGUGGUGGUAACUCAAAAGGUAGCUCAAUUGUGAAGGAUAAUAAUAAUAAGGAGAGACAUAGUGUACCCAGUAUUAGGAAACAGCAACAAGAUGCUUCUAAAAGAGAGGCUGCUGCUUCUAAGAGAAUGCAAGAACUUAUGCGCCAAUUCGGCACCAUUUUGCGCCAGAUCACACAGCACAAGUGGGCAUGGCCCUUUAUGCAACCCGUAGAUGUCAAAGGUCUUGGCUUACAUGACUACUAUGAGGUUAUUGACAAGCCCAUGGACUUCAGUACCAUAAAAAAUCAAAUGGAGACUAAAGAUGGUACUGGAUACAAGAACGUUAGGGAGAUAUGUGCUGACGUGAGAUUAGUUUUUAAGAAUGCAAUGAAAUAUAAUGACGAAAGAAGCGAUGUUCAUGUUAUGGCCAAAACAUUGCUGGCGAAAUUUGAGGAGAAGUGGCUGCAACUAUUGCCUAAAGUCACUGAAGAGGAGAAAAGGCGAGAAAUGGAGGAAGCAGAGGCUCAGUUGGACAUGCAACUUGCUCAGGAGGCUGUUCAUGCUAAAAUGGCAAGAGAAUUAAGUAAUGAGCUUUAUGAGAUUGAUACACAUUUGGAUGAACUCAGAGACAUGGUCGUUCAAAAGUGCAGAAAAAUAUCAACUGAAGAGAAAAGAAAGCUUGGGGCGGCUCUCACUAGAUUGUCUCCUGAAGAUCUGACAAAAGCAUUGGAGAUUGUUGCUCAAAAUAAUCCAGGUUUUCAAGCUACUGCUGAAGAGGUGGACCUUGACAUUGAUGCACAGACUGAGUCCACUCUUUGGAGGUUAAAAUUUUUUGUGAAAGAUGCUCUGGAAGUUCAGGGAAAAAAUGCAGCAAGUGCAGGUGGCAAUAAUAAUAACAACAACAGUAACACCACCACCAACAAUAAUAAUAGUAACAACAAGCGGAAAAAGGAGAUUUGUGAUGCAAUUGCCAAAACUGCCAAGAAAAGGAAUAAAAAGGCCUCUGCUUGAUUGUAUUGUACUAUGGACAAGUCUAUGGAGGGAUGCAAUUAGAAUAUUGAUUUCUGCUAGGACAUAUUUUUUCCACAGAAGAUGACGUUAUGCAGUGUUGGGUCUAUUUUUGAGUUCGGAGUUAAGGAGAACUCAAAUAAAUCUUGGUUUGAAGGACAGUUGGGCAGCUCUUGAUCAGGAAAAGUAUUGGUUUCAGUUUCUUGGUGGAGUGGAAGAUCGCAUAAGGAGAGAGAAUCUUCAAAUUCUUCAUCCAUUUCAUGCAGACUGUUUGUGUUUGGUCCAAAAGAAAAUGUAAGAGGAAGUGAGAGAAAAGAGGAGAAUUUUGUGUAUGUUGGUCGCUGGCUUGUCUAACAUAUAUGUAUAUAUAUAUUUUCUCUAGGAAGAAAGAGUGUGUGUAUAAUUUCUUUGUGGGCAGAAGCAACAUUUUCUUA